AACGAACGCUGGCGGCAGGCUUAACACAUGCAAGUCGAACGCCCCGCAAGGGGAGUGGCAGACGGGUGAGUAACGCGUGGGAAUCUACCCAGUUCUACGGAACAACUGAGGGAAACUUCAGCUAAUACCGUAUACGCCCUACGGGGGAAAGAUUUAUCGGAAUUGGAUGAGCCCGCGUUGGAUUAGCUAGUUGGUGAGGUAACGGCUCACCAAGGCGACGAUCCAUAGCUGGUCUGAGAGGAUGAUCAGCCACACUGGGACUGAGACGCGGCCCAGACUCCGACGGGAGGCAGCAGUGGGGAAUAUUGGACAAUGGGCGCAAGCCUGAUCCAGCCAUGCCGCGUGAGUGAUGAAGGCCUUAGGGUUGUAAAGCUCUUUCAGUGGGGACGAUAAUGACGGUACCCACAGAAGAAGCCCCAGCUAACUUCGUGCCAGCCGCCGCCGUAACAC
rnacentral:rRNA from 1 species